rnacentral:rRNA from 1 species
AGAACGAACGCUGGCGGCAUGCCUAACACAUGCAAGUCGAACGCUUCCGGGGCUUCGGUCGCGGAGGAGUGGCGCACGGGUGAGUAGCGCGUGGGAACCUGCCCUGUUGUGGGGGAUAACCGAGGGAAACUUCGGCUAAUACCGCAUACGCCCCGGGACUUGGUCUUCGGAUUAGGUCUGGGGGGAAAGAUUGAUCGCAGCAGGAGGGGCCCGCGUCGGAUUAGCUGGUUGGUGGGGUAACGGCUCACCAAGGCGAUGAUCCGUAGCUGGUCUGAGAGGAUGAUCAGCCACACUGGGACUGAGACACGGCCCAGACUCCUACGGGAGGCAGCAGUGGGGAAUAUUGGACAAUGGGGGCAACCCUGAUCCAGCAAUGCCGCGUGAGUGAUGAAGGCCUUAGGGUUGUAAAGCUCUUUCGCCCGCGACGAUGAUGACGGUAGCGGGAGAAAGGAACGCCCCGGCUAACUUCGCGCAGCAGCUGCGU